AGCGAAAGCGUUAAGUUAUCCACCUGGGGAGUACGACCGCAAGGUUGAAACUCAAAGGAAUUGACGGGGGCCCGCACAAGCGGAGGAACAUGUGGUUUAAUUCGAUGAUACGCGAGGAACCUUACCUAGACUUGAACGUAUUUGGACAGAUCCAGAGAUGGAUUCUUCUUUCGGGACCAUUUACGAGGUGCUGCAUGGUCGUCGUCAGCUCGUGCCGUGAGGUGUCGGGUUAAGUCCCAUAACGAGCGCAACCCUUGCCAAUAGUUGCCAGCGAGUAAUGUCGGGGACUCUAUUGGGACUGCCGGUGUAAACCGUGAGGAAGGUGGGGAUGACGUCAAAUCAGCACGGCCCUUACGUCUAGGGCGACACACGUGUUACAAUGGCCAGUACAGAGGGUCGCUACUAAGUGAUUAGAUGCUAAUCUCAAAAACUGGUUUCAGUUCGGAAUGGAGGUUGAAACUCGCCUCCCUGAAGCUGGAUUCGGUUGUAAUUGCAUAUCAGCCAUGAUGCGGUGAAUACGUUCCCGGGCCUUGUACACACCGCCCGU
rnacentral:rRNA from 1 species